AACGAACGCUGGCGGCAGGCUUAACACAUGCAAGUCGAGCGCCCAGCAAGGGGAGCGGCAGACGGGUGAGUAACGCGUGGGAAUCUACCCAUCUCUACGGAAUAACGCAUGGAAACGUGUGCUAAUACCGUAUACGUCCCUCGGGAGAAAGGUUUAUCGGAGAUGGAUGAGCACGCGUUGGAUUAGCUAGUUGGUGGGGUAAAAGCCUACCAAGGCGACGAUCCAUAGCUGGUCUGAGAGGAUGAUCAGCCACACUGGGAAUGAAACACGGCCCAGACUCCUACGGGAGGCAGCAGUGGGGAAUAUUGGACAAUGGGCGCAAGCCUGAUCCAGCCAUGCCGCGUGAGUGAUGAAGGCCCUAGGGUUGUAGAGCUCUUUCACCGGUGAAGAUAAUGACGGUAACCGGAGAAGAAGCCCCGGCUAACUUCGUGCCAGCCGCCGCGGUAAUAC
rnacentral:rRNA from 1 species